GUGGGAGGGGGAAGCCGGGCCUGAGAGGGCGACCGGCCACACUGGGACUGAGACACGGCCCAGACUCCUACGGGAGGCAGCAGUGGGGAAUAUUGCGCAAUGGGCGGAAGCCUGACGCAGCGACGCCGCGUGGGGGAUGACGGCCUUCGGGUUGUAAACCUCUUUCGCCAGGGACGAAGAGCGAUUGACGGUACCUGGAGAAGAAGCACCGGCCAACUACGUGCCAGCAGCCGCGGUAACACGUAGGGUGCGAGCGUUGUCCGGAAUUAUUGGGCGUAAAGAGCUCGUAGGCGGUGUGUCGCGUCGGCCGUGAAAACUUGGGGCUUAACUCUGAGCGUGCGGUCGAUACGGGCAUCACUUGAGUUCGGCAGGGGAGACUGGAAUUCCUGGUGUAGCGGUGAAAUGCGCAGAUAUCAGGAGGAACACCGGUGGCGAAGGCGGGUCUCUGGGCCGAUACUGACGCUGAGGAGCGAAAGCGUGGGGAGCGAACAGGAUUAGAUACCCUGGUAGUCCACGCCGUAAACGUUGGGCGCUAGGUGUGGGGACCAUUCCACGGUUUCUGUGCCGCAGCUAACGCAUUAAGCGCCCCGCCUGGGGGAGUACGGGA
rnacentral:rRNA from 1 species